AAUAAGAUUAUUUUUCAGUUUUUUGAUACAAUGUUUUGACUCUUCGUCUUAUUUGAAAUUUUUUUACGAUUAAUAUUUUUAUUCGUGCUAGAUGAUAAAAUAUGAAUACUUUAUACGUAACUAAUUUUUUUUAUGUUUUUUACAAUUUUUUCAAAAUAAGACGAAUGGUUUGGACACGGAAAAAC
rnacentral:pre_miRNA from 1 species